rnacentral:lncRNA from 1 species
ACUGGGGCGCUACGGUUCCUGGAGCUGGGCAGUCUUCUCGUCAGAGUGGGGACUGGUAAGAGCGACCUCCCCGCCAGGUCCUGUGUGUUGCCGGCUGAAGAAGGAGCCUUGCUCCGUCCCCCAUGCUGGAGUGCAGUGGCAUGAUCUUGGCUCACUGCAACCUCCACCUCCCGGGUUCAAGUGAUUCUCCUGCCUCAGGCUCCCGAGUAGCUGGGAUUACAGGAUGAUGAUUAUUCCCCACCUUCUAAGAGACAAAGACCAACGAGCCACCACAGCCACCAGUCCCAGAACCCGCCAAUGCUGGGGAAUGGAAAAUGAGGGAGUUCAACUCUGGCCCUCACAAUCCAGUGGAGGAGACGAAACUCAUCUGCCUCUGUCCCUCUGGGCACACCUCAUGCCAGGUGCAUCUGUGGACAGGGGCCAUGCUCCUGGGCUUCCAAAGUUGGAGAAAGCUGCCAGGCUCAGACCCACCUAAGCUGAAGAUUCCCUUGAGAACAAGUACUGUCCUGUGGUUUCAUGGCCUUUCUUCCAUUUGUGGUUCUUGCGAAGUGGAAUUUAAAUGACAUCUUAUCAAGAUGGAUAAACCCUAGUUUCCCAGUGCUGGAAUAUAGAAAAUGGAUGGACAAGUAAAUCCCACUCAGUACCCAUAGGCCAGGCAUGGGGACCUCAACACACCUGAGCCCCAGACAUCACCUUUCAUUGUGAGUAGCUCUGAGAUGACACUUCUGCUGUUCCCAAUUCCAGCAUUAAUUGGAUUAGAUAGUUAUUUUAUGAAGAAUUUUCAUAUGCCACAAUCCUGACCGUAUCUUCAAGUGAACAGAAAAAUUCUAUUAAAAAGUCAACCUUCUGUCUCACUCUAUUGCCCAGACUGGAGUGCAGUGGUGCAAUUAUGGCUCACUGCAGUCUCAACCUCCUGGGCUCAAGCAAUCCUCCUGCCUCAGCCUCACAAGUAGCUGGGACUACAGGUGCUUGUCACCACACCUCACUAAUUUUCCCAUUUGUGUUACAUGUGGAUUCCACAGGACUGACUUCAAAAACUUGAGUAUGCGUGCAUUUUGGUAUACACAGAAAUGGGAGAGCUGGAACUAAUCCCCCCAUAUACCAAGGGACAAAUUGUAUCUGUUUUUACAAUUAUGCAGUAGGAGACAUUAUGUUCCAUGACAAUGGUAAUUUUUAAUGACAGUUUUUAAUUGAGUGAAAUUACCAUAAAAAUAAUAAUAGUAGUAGCUAAUAUUUACUGAGCUGUUACUAGGUGCCUAUAAAUAGCAUAGAUUUUUAAAUUCUCCAUAAUUCUUCCUUAUUUCACUUAACCACUCUAUCUUAAAUUACUCAUGCUUGCCUCAGUAGCACACAUACUUAAGUUGGAACAACAGAGAGAUUGGCACGGCCUCUGUGAAAGAAUGACAUGCAAAUUUGUGAAGCAUUCCAUAUUUUUUUAAAAAAAGAGAAAAAAUUUACUCCCAGAUUUUCACUGUGUUUGUGCAUAUAACCUUUUGUUUAGGUUGAAUUAUAUCCAAAGAUGAAAUUUCCAGAAGUGAGAUUACUGUGAGUCACAGGGCAUGAGCAUUCUUAUUACCCUUGAUGUAAAUUGCAAAGCUUUCAGGCAUGGUGGCUGUCAGCCUGUAAUUCCAGCACUUUGGGAGGCUGAGGUGGGAGGAUUGCUUGAGGCCAGGAGUUGGAGGAGGCAGUAUAAUGAGUCACUGUCUGUAUGAUUUAAAAAAAAUUUCCAAGCUUUAUGCUAGAAGGCUUAUAUACAUUUUAAACACCACUAAUACUACAAGAAAAUGGCCAUUUCACUGCACCUUUGCCCACACAGGUAUUAAAAUUUAACAAGUUAUUUUCUGUGUGAUAAAUGAAAGACCUCAUAUUAUUACUUUGUCACCCAUUCUUUUUUCUUUUUUGAGACGCAGUCUCACUCUGUCGACCAGGCUGGAGUGCAGUGGUGUGAUCUCGGCUCACUGCAACCUGUGCCUCCCAGGUUCAAGCGACUCUCCUGCCUCAGCCUUCUGAGUAGCUGGGAUUACAGGCACAUGCCACCAUGCCCGGCUAAUUUUUGUAUUUUUAGUAGAAACGUGGUUUCACCAUGUUGAUCAGGCUGGUCUCGAACUCCUGACCUCGUGAUCUACCCGCCUCGGCCUCCCAAAGUGCUUGAUUACAGCUGUGAGCCAUGCGCCCAGCCUAUUUGUCACAUAUUUUAUCUUUCCUUAUGUUAGCUUAUUAGCUUUAUUUCUUUAUUGUCCUUUUUUUUUUUUUUUUUGAGAUGAAGUCUCGCUCUGUCUCCUAGGCUUCAGUGUAGUGGCACAGUCUCAACUCACUGCAGCCUUGACCUCCUAGGCUCAGGUGAUCCUUCCACCUCAGUAGUUGGGACUAUAGGCACAUGCCACUAUGCCUGGCCAAUUAUUUUUAUUUUUUUAUUUUUACUAGAGACAAGGUCUUGCUUUGUUUCUUAGGCUGGUCUGGAACUCCUGGCCUCAAGCAAUCCCCCCACCACCCUCUCCCAAAGUACUGGUAUUAUA